GAGUUUGAACCUGGCUCAGGAUGAACGCUGGCGGCGUGCCUAACACAUGCAAGUCGAACGGGGGAGUGUAAGGAAGGAGGAUGCUUGCAUCUUUUGGAGAUACAAUCCCCAGUGGCGGACGGGUGAGUAACGCGUGGGCAACCUGCCCUGUACAGGGGGAUACCAUCUGGAAACAGAUGCUAAUACCGCAUGAGCACAUUCAGCCGCAUGGCAGGAUGUGGAAAGGGAGCAAUCCCGGUACAGGAUGGACCCGCGUCUGAUUAGCCAGUUGGCAGGGUAACGGCCUACCAAAGCGACGAUCAGUAGCCGGCCUGAGAGGGUGAACGGCCACAUUGGGACUGAGACACGGCCCAGACUCCUACGGGAGGCAGCAGUGGGGAAUAUUGCACAAUGGGGGAAACCCUGAUGCAGCGACGCCGCGUGAGUGAAGAAGUAUUUCGGUAUGUAAAGCUCUGUCAGCAGGGAAGAAGAGGGGGCAACCCCGGACGGUACCUGACCAAGAAGCCCCGGCUAACUACGUGCCAGCAGCCGCGGUAAUACGUAGGGGGCAAGCGUUAUCCGGAAUCACUGGGUGUAAAGGGAGCGUAGACGGCAUGGCAAGCCUGGAGUGAAAGCCCACAGCCCAACUGUGGGACUGCUCUGGGAACUGUCAUACUGGAGUGCAGGAGAGGUAAGUGGAAUUCCUGGUGUAGCGGUGAAAUGCGUAGAUAUCAGGAGGAACACCAGUGGCGAAA
rnacentral:rRNA from 1 species